UGGGAAGGAGAGAAAAUGGCGGCGGAGCCGAACAAGACCGAAAUCCAGACUCUUUUUAAGAGGCUUCGCGCAGUUCCAACCAACAAGGCCUGUUUCGACUGCGGCGCCAAGAAUCCGAGUUGGGCCAGCAUCACGUACGGUGUUUUCUUGUGCAUUGACUGUUCCGGGGUGCACCGCUCCCUGGGCGUCCAUCUGAGCUUCAUCAGGUCCACAGAGUUGGAUUCCAACUGGAACUGGUUCCAGCUGAGGUGUAUGCAGGUCGGCGGGAAUGCCAAUGCGACGGCUUUUUUUCGCCAACAUGGAUGCACAGCCAAUGAUGCCAACACCAAAUAUAAUAGCCGAGCUGCCCAGAUGUACCGGGAGAAGAUCCGGCAGCUGGGGAGUGCGGCCCUGGCUAGGCAUGGCACUGAUCUUUGGAUAGACAACAUGAGUAGUGCCGUUCCUAAUCACUCCCCAGAGAAGAAGGACUCUGAUUUCUUCACAGAACACACUCAACCCCCUGCCUGGGAUGCGCCAGCCACUGAGCCUUCAGGGACCCAGCAGCCAGCCCCGUCUACAGAGAGCAGUGGCCUGGCACAGCCGGAGCAUGGCCCAAACACAGACCUGCUUGGCACCUCACCCAAAGCCUCACUGGAACUGAAAAGCUCCAUCAUUGGCAAGAAGAAGCCAGCAGCAGCUAAGAAAGGGGUAGGUGGGGAGAGGUGGUAUGGUAGAGGGGUUAGGAGCUGGGUGCAGGCUACCUGGGUUCACUCCUUGACCUUACCACUUACCAGCUAUAUGACUUUGGCAAAGGUACUGUGUUUCUCCGAACCUCGCCUGUGAAAGGGAUUUAAAGAUUUAAAGGGAUUUAAAGCCUGUCUUCAAGGGCUGCUGGGAGGAGUCGGUGAGAUGGAGCACAUCUAGUGCUUGGCGGAGUGCUUGGCACAUACUUGGCCCUGUCGG
rnacentral:sRNA from 1 species